rnacentral:rRNA from 1 species
UACGGAGGGGGCAAGCGUUAUCCGGAAUUAUUGGGCGUAAAGCGUCCGUAGGUGGCACUUCAAGUCUGUCGUCAAAGACUGGGGCUUAACCCUGGAAAGGCGGUGGAAACUGAAGCGCUAGAGUGCGGUAGGGGUAGAGGGAAUUCCCGGUGUAGCGGUGAAAUGCGUAGAGAUCGGGAAGAACAUCGGUGGCGAAAGCGCUCUACUGGACCGCAACUGACACUCAGGGACGAAAGCUAGGGGAGCGAAUGGG